rnacentral:rRNA from 1 species
CGGACGGGUGAGUAAUGUCUGGGAAACUGCCUGAUGGAGGGGGAUAACUACUGGAAACGGUAGCUAAUACCGCAUAACGUCGCAAGACCAAAGAGGGGGACCUUAGGGCCUCUUGCCAUCGGAUGUGCCCAGAUGGGAUUAGCUAGUAGGUGGGGCAACGGCUCACCUAGGCGACGAUCCCUAGCUGGUCUGAGAGGAUGACCAGCCACACUGGAACUGAGACACGGUCCAG